rnacentral:sRNA from 1 species
UGGAGUCUAAUUAAGAAAUACAUACGUCCUCUCUGUUAACGCUUUAAUUAGUAUCCAAAUUAAUUAGCCAUAGAAUUGGAAGCAGAUAAACAAACCCUAAUUUACUUAUCUUCUGGGAAAAAACUACUGUUUUUACACUACAAAAAAACAAUUUAAAACAUGCAAAAAAAAAGAAAAAUAAUUUUUAUAACUCAGGAAGUUCUAAUUCUAAGCUCAUAGUUUGUCUUCAGACUCGGAACCAGCCGUUGAUAAUGCUUAUAUGGGACAUUAAUCAUGCUCUCUUAUACUUCUAAGACUCUAUUUAGAAGGAUAAAGUUAACGUCUUUUAAAAUAAGCUUUAUUACUAGUUGAAAGAAACACUCUUUUAUUUUUCUUUUCAGGAUUCCAAAUUUGUUAGGAUCGGCAAUAACUCAUGAGGGUGAGACACAUAUUAAUUAGCCUUAUCGGAUUAGUGGGGUCAAGUAUUUGAAUUCGGUAAGAAGCAAGCAAUAAUAGAUCUCGAAUGCAUCAGAGUAGUUGCAUUUUCCGUAAAACAAAUAAACUCAUCUGCAUGGUCCAGGGAUCCUGUAACAUCAAUCAUUGAACGCAUAUAUACGUUACAAUUUUAUAAUGAUGAAACUGCAAAGUCCGAUUUUGGGUGAUCUCUCUGGUGGUACCACGUUUAUGGUCGUCAACUCAAAAUUUUACAAUCAGGCACAUUUACAACAUAAUUUAUACAAUUAUACUAGAUCAAGCGGGGUACUUAAUUUGUUAUGUAGUGAAAACUUUGUAGUUCUAUGUUUUACAAUUUUUAGUGAAUUUUGUAAAAUUUUAUGUUUCAUAAACAUGUAUAAAUAAAUAUAUAAAUAUUUAUAGAUGCCGUUUCUUAUGGUUCGUUUCCUCCAUGUUUAGGAAUUUUAAAUAUCAGAAUAUAUUAUUAGAAAAAAACAAGCAAAUAU